CUGCACUGUGUGGUAAAGUUAUUCAAUACUGAUUGAAUGUGCAUAGUGUCGUGUUUUGCAGCAUGAUUUUUGUUUGUUAAGUCGUCAAACACCGCCAUACAAUAAUUGUGUGAGUUGCCUGGAUUUAGGGACGUCGAACGUUCAGGCUUCUGCGUAUACCGUACAGCAGUGAGUGAACGCCUUUCACUGUUGACUACAGUAUACGUAUGGAGGCUAUAAUCUAGAGCGCCUUAAAUUGGGUUUGAGAGCAUGUUUUAACUCAAAAUGGUUAAGGGAUACUUCGGGAUUUUGACAAUGAAGCCCCUUUAUCUACUACCCGAGUCAGAUGAAUCCGCGUAUACGACAAUGUUUAUGUAUCUGCGUAUAGCAGGAACUAGUAUGGGUAGCUGCAGCCCAAAAUGGCGAUCGAGUAUGUUCGUCAAUAGUUAAAAGUUACUAGUGCCGCUUAUUUCUACAAUGUAUAUUCUAAAAUGUGAUUGUAAACAUAACCUUAACCACACUGCUAACUUAAUGCCUAACCUUAAAUAAAACUGUUGUUUCUUAUAUUGAUUUUGUGGCUGUGGAAACCCCGGAGUAUAAACUAAGAUUCAAAAAAUAAUGUUUUAUCUGCGGUAUAUGCGCCAUUUGAAACGAAAGCGAGCGGGCUGAGGUGGGAAACCCCCGAAUGUCGCCAGUCUAAACAACAAUGGAGUGGACUUAUAGUUUAAAACUGUUUCCGGCUACAAUUUUUUUAAAUGUUUUUUUAUUUUUAUUAACAACAAAUCAAUACAGAAAGUACACGAGGGAAUUUCCGGCUGCAAUUUAUAUCGAUAAAUGGGGAGAUGAAGACGUCAGUCACACUGUCCAAGUCAGUCCAACUAAAAGGUUACAGUAACUGGAUCGAGGGUUACAUUCACGAUGUAACGUUACAAGGUGGAGUUCUCUGAAAGUCCAUCAUGGAGACUAAAUGCAAUGCACAGCUGGCCAGGGACAGUGCAACCAUGCCAUCGGUUUACUGUAAACCAUAGCUCAUUACAUUAAAAUGGGCUACACGUCUGUUCCACCAACAGAGCUAAACAUCCUUGCCUCAAACAUGGCACAUUCCCCCGUGUACGUCAGGCCUGAAGUCAAAACCUGUAAAUACAGUUAAAUUAUCAAAAGUAAAGCCAUUGAGGAAUGAAAUGCACCUGCCAACUUGAAGGGAUUGUGCCAAAUACGUAUUGUCCAGUCCCUACACAAUUGCCCAGUAAAUAGUUUGCUAGUAGAGCUGACCCCAUUUAGUCGACUGGUUGAUUGUUUGGUCGACCAAGAUUUCUUAAUGUCGAGCAGUAGCAAAAACAUUUUAUUUAUCAUGGUGUACAAGACACCUGUCUGAUUCACGCUUGUCUGAGUGGAUUAAUCCAUUGUGGAGGCCGUGGGGAUGGCACAGUCCAUCACUCUAAGACAUCUGCUACUGAAAUUGUACAUGGUUACAUUACCUAAGAACAAUGGUGCAAUGCUAAUAAAAAAUAAUGUAUUUUAUAACAAAUGCGCCUUCUCUUGCGUUGGAUAGUGGUCCUUGUCCGGUGUUCUGAAACACACCAGUGCGCUGUUGAAUUGGCGCCUUUUCCUAGACCAUGUUGCUAUGUGCAUAAUAGAAAAGGUAACCAGCAUAUUGGUGUUGAGAACAAGGUGGCGGAGGCAGCAGCAGAGUUAGGAGACGAGGAAACAGCCCUUGCCUUAUUGUCUAAGAAAAGAGAGGAGAGAGGAAACCCCAACUUAAUUAGGUAUAUAAUCAAUAGCAUAACUGUUAAAUGUGUCUGGCUUUAUAAAUCAUCCAUGUAUAUCUACAGAAAUAAGACAAAUCCUGCUUUUGUUGCCUGUUUUGGUGUUUGUUGUUUAUCUUUGCUUUGCUGUAAUAAAGGCUUUACACUUUUUCAUUUGA